AUGGAACUACGACUUAUUCAGGCUAGCCAACAGUGUGAAACUGCAAGGAAUUAUAGCCUACACAGAAUAAAACGACAAGUUAUGGACAUUAAUAAGCUCUCAUAAGUGGACCAGGAAGCUCUUUUUGGGCCGCUGGGCUGAAGAAGUCUCCCUAUCAGCUAGCGCCGUGUCUGGACAGCUGCCUUUGCCUUUAAACCUCAAUGACUGUCCCUGAAUGCCAUCCAUGACCCUCUCCUCGCCAUCUAACUCAGCCACAGACAGAACUGAAUGAUUUAUGCUGCCAUCAGAGCGGGAAGCAGCUGCUUUAAUGUUCCCUCGGAGGCUGUAAAGAAACGCUGGGUGUUCCAUCAAAGACUGCUACAAAAGGAAAUGUGAACUGCGAACCAUUUGUCUGCAUUUCCGCGGUUAUCUGACAGUCAGCCGUGUUGGGAGACGCUCCAACGUCAGCUCAUGAAACAAACAUUUAGCAAACACACAACAGUGAAGCUGCCAGCUGACACGCGCCUGUUAAAGCCAUCCCGUCAUGUAAAUAACUUGUUUCGGUGUGCUUUCAAUUAAAGCGGAGGACGAAGUGCCAUUGCUGCCUUUGAUGGAUGAGCUAAGAUAUUGGAGUGUACCGUCGGAUGACAAAACGUUCCCCCACUCCACCUCAACUCCUCUUUCCUAUUGAUUGUCCUGGUGGUUAUUCAUCAGGGCGGCGGCCACUGUCAGAUCAGCUGCUCCUUCUCCUCGCAAAACACAUUUUCCACAGUUAUUGAUAAAGCUAUUUGACCUUUUAUUUAAAUGUGUGUCUGUUAUGUGCACACAUCUGUGUUUUCUUUCUCCUUGCUCUUGCCAGUGGCUUGCAGAUCGCUGCAGCUACAUGAAU